UACGGAGGGUCCAAGCGUUAUCCGGAUUUACUGGGUUUAAAGGGUGCGCAGGCGGAUAUGUAAGUCAGUGGUGAAAUCUCUAGGCUUAACCUGGAAAUUGCCGUUGAUACUAUAUAUCUUGAAUGCUGUGGAGGUAAGCGGAAUAUGUCAUGUAGCGGUGAAAUGCUUAGAUAUGACAUAGAACACCUAUUGCGAAGGCAGCUUACUACGCAGAUAUUGACGCUCAUGCACGAAAGCGUGGGGAUCAAACAGG
rnacentral:rRNA from 1 species